GACGAACGCUGGCGGCGUGCUUAACACAUGCAAGUCGAACGGAAAGGCCCUGCUUUUGUGGGGUGCUCGAGAGGCGAACGGGUGAGUAAAACGUGAGUAACCUGCCCUUGAAUUUGGGAUAACUUCUGGAAAAUGGGGCUAAUACCGGAUAGGAGCUCCUGCUGCAUGGGGGGGGUUGGAAAGUUUCGGCGGUUGGGGAUGGACUCGCGGCUUAUCAGCUUGUUGGUGGGGUAGUGGUUGACACAGGCUUUGACGGGUAGCCGGCCUGAGAGGGUGAACGGCCUCAUUGGGACUACGAUACGCCCCAGACUCGUACGGGCCGCAGCAGUCGGGAAUAUGGCACAAUGGGCGCAAGCCUGAUACAGCAACGCUGCGUGCGUGAUGCCGUCCUUCGGGUGGUAAACCGCUUUCUCCGGAGACGAAGCGGUCGUGACGGUAAUGAGUAAAAAAGCACCGGCUAACUACGUG
rnacentral:rRNA from 1 species